GACGAACGCUGGCGGCGUGCUUAACACAUGCAAGUCGAACGGAAAGGCCCUGCUUUUGUGGGGUGCUCGAGUGGCGAACGGGUGAGUAACACGUGAGUAACCUGCCCUUGACUUUGGGAUAACUUCAGGAAACUGGGGCUAAUACCGGAUAGGAGCUCCUGCUGCAUGGUGGUGGUUGGAAAGUUUCGGCGGUUGGGGAUGGACUCGCGGCUUAUCAGCUUGUUGGUGGGGUAGUGGCUUACCAAGGCUUUGACGGGUAGCCGGCCUGAGAGGGUGACCGGCCACAAUGGGACUGAGAUACGGCCCAGACGCCUACGGGAGGCAGCAGUGGGGAAUAUUGCACAAUGGGCGGAAGCCUGAUGCAGCAACGCCGCGUGCGGGAUGACGGCCUUCGGGUUGUAAACCGCUUUCGCCUGUGACGAAGCGUGAGUGACGGUAAUGGGUAAAGAAGCACCGGCUAACUACGUG
rnacentral:rRNA from 1 species